CCCUUGAGGCGUGGCUUCCGGAGCUAACGCGUUAAAUCGACCGCCUGGGGAGUACGGCCGCAAGGUUAAAACUCAAAUGAAUUGACGGGGGCCCGCACAAGCGGUGGAGCAUGUGGUUUAAUUCGAUGCAACGCGAAGAACCUUACCUACUCUUGACAUCCAGAGAACUUUCCAGAGAUGGAUUGGUGCCUUCGGGAACUCUGAGACAGGUGCUGCAUGGCUGUCGUCAGCUCGUGUUGUGAAAUGUUGGGUUAAGUCCCGCAACGAGCGCAACCCUUAUCCUUUGUUGCCAGCGGUUCGGCCGGGAACUCAAAGGAGACUGCCAGUGAUAAACUGGAGGAAGGUGGGGAUG
rnacentral:rRNA from 1 species